GUAGGUGAACCUGCGGAGGGAUCAUUCACAUGAUUUACUUUUAACAAACCGUGAACUUUAUAUAUACUAUUCGUGUUGAAAUUCAACUUUCGGGUUGUUUUUAUAACACUGUCAUUCGUUGAACAUUAGAUAGCUGGCUUUGUUUCUUAACAAAACAUUUCUCAGCUGAUUUGUUGUAUAGACUAAACCUCUUACAUCAAUCACCAAAACAUAGAAAACAACUCUAUGCCCUGGAUAUCUUGGUUCUCGC
rnacentral:misc_RNA from 1 species